CUGGGAGGACCAUCUCCUAAGGCUAAAUACUCUCUAGUGACCGAUAGUGAACCAGUACCGUGAGGGAAAGGUGAAAAGCACCCCGGAAGGGGAGUGAAAUAGAACCUGAAACCGUGUGCUUACAAGUAGUCAGAGCCCGUUAAUGGGUGAUGGCGUGCCUUUUGUAGAAUGAACCGGCGAGUUACGAUUUGAUGCAAGGUUAAGCAGUAAAUGUGGAGCCGUAGCGAAAGCGAGUCUGAAUAGGGCGUUUAGUAUUUGGUCGUAGACCCGAAACCAGGUGAUCUACCCUUGGUCAGGUUGAAGUUCAGGUAACACUGAAUGGAGGACCGAACCGACUUACGUUGAAAAGUGAGCGGAUGAACUGAGGGUAGCGGAGAAAUUCCAAUCGAACCUGGAGAUAGCUGGUUCUCUCCGAAAUAGCUUUAGGGCUAGCCUCAAGUGAUGAUUAUUGGAGGUAGAGCACUGUUUGGACGAGGGGCCCCUCUCGGGUUACCGAAUUCAGACAAACUCCGAAUGCCAAUUAAUUUAACUUGGGAGUCAGAACAUGGGUGAUAAGGUCCGUGUUCGAAAGGGAAACAGCCCAGACCACCAGCUAAGGUCCCAAAAUAUAUGUUAAGUGGAAAAGGAUGUGGCGUUGCCCAGACAACUAGGAUGUUGGCUUAGAAGCAGCCAUCAUUUAAAGAGUGCGUAAUAGCUCACUAGUCGAGUGACACUGCGCCGAAAAUGU
rnacentral:rRNA from 1 species